GACGAACGCUGGCGGCGUGCCUAAUACAUGCAAGUCGAACGCUGAAGGAGGAGCUUGCUUCUCUGGAUGAGUUGCGAACGGGUGAGUAACGCGUAGGUAACCUGCCUGGUAGCGGGGGAUAACUAUUGGAAACGAUAGCUAAUACCGCAUAAUAGUAGAUGUUGCAUGACAUUUGCUUAAAAGGUGCAAUUGCAUCACUACCAGAUGGACCUGCGUUGUAUUAGCUAGUUGGCGGGGUAACGGCUCACCAAGGCGACGAUACAUAGCCGACCUGAGAGGGUGAUCGGCCACACUGGGACUGAGACACGGCCCAGACUCCUACGGGAGGCAGCAGUAGGGAAUCUUCGGCAAUGGACGGAAGGCUGACCGAGCAACGCCGCGUGAGUGAAGAAGGGUUUCGGAUCGUAAAGCUCGGUUGUAAGAGAAGAACGAGUGUGAGAGUGGAAAGUUCACACUGUGACGGUAGCUUACCAGAAAGGGACGGCUAACUACGUG
rnacentral:rRNA from 1 species